rnacentral:rRNA from 1 species
UAGGCAGCAAGUCGAACGAGAUUCUGUUUUUUCAAUUCUUCGGAAGAGAAGGUUCAGAUGAGAGUGGCGAAAGGGUGAGUAACGCGUGGGCAAUCUGCCCUUCAGUCUGGGACAACGUUUCGAAAGGAACGCUAAUACCGGAUGUGGUUCCGUGUCGCAUGGCAUGGACAAUAAAGAUGGGGAUCUUGGGACCUGUCGCUGAGGGAGGAGCCCGCGUCCUAUCAGCUUGUUGGUGAGGUAAUGGCUCACCAAGGCUUACGGGUAGCCUGGCCUGAGAGGAUGAUCAGCCACACUGGGACUGAGACACUGC